AAAAACUAAUAAGCGCCUGAUCCGAUAAGGAUGACGAGGUUUGGAGUUAUCGAAAUUUUCGGCGGAUGCUCCAAAGGUAUCACAGCCUAAGUAUUCUUUAAAAAUUAAGAGUAAUCUUAUAACAAAGAGAAUUCAGUGAAUCUC
rnacentral:ncRNA from 2 species